AGCGAACGCUGGCGGCAGGCUUAACACAUGCAAGUCGAGCGGGCAUCCUUGUGGUGUCAGCGGCAGACGGGUGAGUAACGCGUGGGAACGUGCCCUUCGGUUCGGAAUAACUCAGGGAAACUUGAGCUAAUACCGGAUACGUGCGAGAGCAGAAAGGUUUAUCUGCCGAAGGAUCGGCCCGUGUCUGAUUAGCUAGUUGGUGAGGUUAUGGCUCACCAAGGCGACGAUCAGUAGCUGGUCUGAGAGGAUGAUCAGCCACACUGGGACUGAGACACGGCCCAGACUCCUACGGGAGGCAGCAGUGGGGAAUAUUGGACAAUGGGGGCAACCCUGAUCCAGCCAUGCCGCGUGAGUGAUGACGGCCUUAGGGUUGUAAAGCUCUUUUCCCCGGGACGAUAAUGACGGUACCGGAGGAAUAAGCCCCGGCUAACUUCGUG
rnacentral:rRNA from 1 species